GAACACAACAUACAUAGAGGGAAACACCAAACAACUUUACUGAUAAUCCAUGUACAUGUACCUUUAAUCUAUACCUGUGAUACUAACAGAUUAAAUAUAAAAAGCAAUAAUUAAGUUGUUAUUUUGUACCUGUCAGUAGGUGAAUCUAUUGCAAUAAUGUAAUGUAGAGAUUAUCAUUGCUAGUUGUGUUGUGUAUAGUGACUGUGAAUGUAUUACAUGUACAGUAUUUAUAUAGCAACUGUUAAAAUAUUGUAUGUACAUUAUGUAGUGAGUGAAGACUUUGAAUUUUUCAUUUUUUAUAGUACAUGUCUACCUGUAUGUGAUUGCCGCAGAAUGUCAUGGUAGAUAGGACAUAUAUUUUACUGCAUAAGAGACAGAAAGUAUCAUGGAUCUGUAUUCAUUAUAAUUACAGAUUUAUUGACUUCACUUCUUGGUGUUUUAGGUUGGUUAUGGAACAAGAUAAGUUUCAUUUUGGUGAAAAACUAAUAUGAAAUUUAUUCUCAUUAAGUACUGAAAUAUUUUAAAACUUGAACGGAUAUUUUUUGGCCAUAAGAAAAAUAUAUAGUGCGACUCCAUAAUAGUUUACAAAAUACUAAUUAAAGCAACUAUAUCUGUAGAUUUUUUACUCGUUAAAUGCCGAUUUCUUCUUACAGUGAAAUGGGUUUAAGAAAUAGCGACAGCUUAUACUGUAGAAAAUGUUCUAUUAAUAUAUGUUUACAAGUUUUAAAGCACUGUUCACCAGUUAAAGAAUGCUACACAGAGUGACGCGUCUGUACACUGCACUCUGCUUACGAGCGGUAACACAUCCAUUGUUGGACCUUUCUAGGAGAAAGACUGUUUUGUACAUACACCCUUGUAUAGAAUUGUAAAUGAGGCUAUAUCAUAUCAAAUUUUCCCAAUUUAUCAAUGUGUGGACCACGAAGAAUGCCCAAAAACCCCACAAAAACUAUAGCAGUAAUAAUCUUCAAACAAACAUAAAAAGUGAGUGUAUGUUCAAAAUUAAAACCUGCAUUAACUUUAUGGGAUACAUAUCGUUAUAUAUAUCUUUAUCAGUACAAUAUCUAAAUGGUUUUGUCAGUACACAAUUAUGAAUACAAUACUGGAAUUUGAACCUAAAGUAAUGAUUGUAUACAUUGUAAUCAAAUCAAGCUUCAUACUAUUGCCACUACUGACACAUGUUUUAAAGUCAGCAUAAUAUUUUGUUUCAUACUGUUUACCAGGUUCUGAUUUGUUAAUACCCAGAAUAGGACAUCAUUACAUGUCAUAGUAAACUUGCUUUUUUAAGUCUUUUUAAGUCUUUGUUGCAGUAGACUAAUCUGUAAAAACUGGCACAAAUUUGUGCUGAUAUAUAUUUAUCUGUAUACAUUAAUUUGUAUGUACCUGAUAGAUAAAGAAAGAUGAAUUGAUUCUUUGCAAAGGGAAAUAUUUUGUCUUUUCCACAAGGCCUUUCUGCCUUCCUAGACUUCUCCAGACAGACAACCACCUGAAGAGCUUAUGAAGGCAGAAAGACCUUGUGGAAAUCUUGAAACUUAAGGUUGCGCUCUCAAUACACAGUACAUAUCUUCUCAACAGCCUUGGAUAAUGUCAUGGCAAAUUCAAAGUCUGCUAGCUAAGCUGAUGCCUGUCCUUUGAAGAUUACAAUGUUCUGACAUGACUGUAUACCCAAACUAAAGCAAGUUUUACCUUUUUACUAACCAGUAGCUCACAAUUACUUUCAUUGAGGAGGUAAGUUUUCAGAGUCUUGUUACAGAUUUGAGACUUGUCAUCCUCAAGGUGGCACAUAUAUUCCAAGAGUACAGAAAAACAUGUAUUUUUGGGAACCUUAAAUUGUCUUUAUGGUCAGGUGUAAAAUAUGUAGUUCAUUCAGUGUAGUUCUGUUAACGAUAUAACAUACAAGUCUAACCUUUCCACAGGGGCCUGUAACAGACCCCUAACCUCAUCAGCCCAUAGUAUUGUAUGUACCUGGUAUCUAGACUACAGUGAGGGAUAAGUUACAUGUGAGAUUUUCCUUCAGUAGACAGGUAAGUAGUCCGAGAGAUGUUGGACUACCUUUCAAGUAUAUAUCCGUUAUAUCUUAUCUGUAAAUAAUGUAGCAGUCCGAUUUGUGAGUAUGUUUCAGUAGUGAUCCUAUAGAUAUUGUACCAGUGAGAAACCAUUGUGGUUAGCCUGUGUUGGGGCUGAAUGUGACAAAGUGUGUGGAAGUCAGAAUCUGUUAAGGUGCGAUUAAUGUCUGGUGUGUGUGGACAACAUGAUACUGUUUCAAUGUUAAUUUACUAGUAACCUGAUUUGUAGUGUGUCCAUAAUUAUCAUAUGAAUUAUCUUCUUAUUAGAUCUGGGCGGUCAUAGUGUGAUAGCUAUUUCUGCAGCCCCUGGUUUGCCAUGUAAUAUUUACCAGCAUAUAUACUAUAAAAGGCUAUAUUUUAAUUUGUGUGUAUUUGACUGACCAGUGCAAAAUCAUGAGAUGUCCGACCAGUACAGAAUGGUGUGAAGCAUGUUAUAGUUUCAGUAUGUAACCCAUCAACCUUGCCUUAAUCUUACAUUGUUGUGAUUUAUACCAAGAAUUGUUUACCUAGCUUUGAGAUAUCUAUAUAACCCCCUGUUAGGGACCACCCUAUCACUUCGACCAUACAAUGCUUAACCAUGCCGGGUUGUCUCCCUUGUAUUGGUGACACAGUGAACUGGGACAUUCUUGUUUAUCAGUUGGACCAGAGUUGUUUAUGAACGGACCUGGGGCCAGUUUCUUCCUUAUCUGGAAUUUUCAUAGGAAACCAUCACAGAAUUUAAGGAAUGUUCAUUAACUAAGAUUGUUUCUCCUCUGUAAUGCUUUCCUAUGGAAGUUGAGGGAGGUUGAUGAAACCAGGACUUGGUGAUUUUGUGUUGUUUACAAAUGAGCCUUGACAAAGACUUCCAAGGCCUGUAUUAACAUCUUCAGGUCCAUCAAGAUCUAGGCCUAAAAUACUACAUCUAUUAAAAAAAACCUUUCAUCUUUAGAAACGAUCAGGCCUCUAAUGUCCAAUAUAGACAAGAUGUAUUGUACAGUAGCAUAUACAUUUAAUGAUACACAUUGCCUUCAUUGGAUCACAAUAUCAUCAUUCAAUGCUGUAUUAUGAUCUAUAAUCAAUAAUCCAUCAUAUUACUUGGUAGAACUCAAUGAAAUGCUGUAGGAAGUUCUUGCACAAUACAUUUUCUAAGGUAAAGGUUAUCGGUGUACUCGUAAAUAUGAAGAUACGAAAAAGAGUAAAUAGCUAAUCAUUAUAUUGAGUCUGUUUCAUUUUGAUGUUGUGGCAAUUUAGUUUCUGUAUAGUAACUUGUGUAAGAUACCCGGUGUAAACUGAUACGUCCCCGUCACUGUAGUUCAUUUUCCCCUUAAGCGUUCAGUAUAUGUCUCCGAUUCAUAUUGCACACUUUCAUGGAUAAAAAUAGAAUAUUUCAGACAUGUAACAAUAAUGUCAUCUUUUAAUAUAGUGGUGUCUGUUAACUGUGAUAUAUAAAAUCACUUCUGUUGUAUCAAAUCCUUUCAGUACCUGUGUUCAGAUAAGACUAACACUAUGAUUUACAACGUAAAAUGUCCAAUAUUUACUACCUGGUACUGUUACUUAAAAUUCUCAUAUAUACAAGCCUAUACAGUACAUUGUACCAUGGUAUCACAAACUGAAGACUAAUCGGAGUGAGGUCCCCUCCCCAAUUUUAGCCGUCCUUGAGAGGACUAGAGUUUAAUAUGAGGAUAUAUACGGUAAUACUGACAGGAGUAUCAAUAUUCUAUCAACCUUUGUUGUACAUGUAACCUUGGUGUUGUAAUCAAGCUGAUUUGAGGUACUUCAUAUAAUUUAUGCUUUUAUGUCCAACAUGACCAUAUCCCUAAUCUAGUUUGUGUUUUAAUCACUUCUUGUCUUUCAUUUUGCACAUGUUGUCAGACUGGUGCUAUGUGGUAAGUUGCACUUAUACUGUGUGUGUGCUCGUCAUAUAUUUACAGACAUCUCGUUUCUGGUCCGAUAUUGACAUUCUGUUUAUUACAGAAUAAAAUCUUUUAAACAAAA